rnacentral:rRNA from 1 species
CCCUUAGAUGUCCUGGGCUGCACGCGCGCUACACUGACGAACUCAACGAGCUUAUCACCUUGGCAGAGAUGUCUGGGUAAUCUUUUGAAAGUUCGUCGUGCUGGGGAUAGAUGAUUGUAAUUAUUCGUCUUGAGCGAGGAAUUCCUAGUAAGUGUGAGUCAUCAGCUCGCGCUGAUUACGUCCCUGCCCUUUGUACACACCGCCCGUCGCUCCUACCGAUUGAAUGGUCCGGUGAGGUUCUCGGAUUUUUUCUGUUGUUUGGUUCGCUAAACGAUUGAGGAGAGAAGUUACCCAAACCUUACCAUUUAGAGGAAGGAGAAGUCGUAACA